rnacentral:tRNA from 1 species
GUGGAUGAACUUGGUGUUUUACUCGUUCAAUGAAGUAGUCCGCAUUUAAGAAAGAGGUGCUGGUUCGAUUCCAGCCGUCCACA